AUUGAACGCUGGCGGCAUGCCUUACACAUGCAAGUCGAACGGGAUUUUUUUCUGUAGCAAUACAGAGAAAAGUCUAGUGGCGAACGGGUGCGUAACACGUGAGCAACCCGCCGUGAAGUGGGGGAUAGCUCGCCGAAAGGCGAAUUAAUACCGCAUGUGGCCAAGGAAGACAUCUUCCUGACGCCAAAGCCGGGGCAACCUGGCGCUUCUCGAGGGGCUCGCGGCCUAUCAGCUUGUUGGUGAGGUAACGGCUCACCAAGGCUAUGACGGGUAGCUGGUCUGAGAGGAAGACCAGCCACACUGGAACUGAGACACGGUCCAGACACCUACGGGUGGCAGCAGUCGAGAAUUUUUCACAAUGGGGGAAACCCUGAUGGAGCGACGCCGCGUGGAGGAUGAAGGUUUUCGGAUUGUAAACUCCUGUCAUUAGAGAACAAGGCACACGGUUUAACUGGCCGUGUGUUGAUAGUAUCUGAAGAGGAAGAGACGGCUAACUCUGUGCCAGCAGCCGCCGUAA
rnacentral:rRNA from 1 species